rnacentral:rRNA from 1 species
UCUGGUGCCAGCAGCCGCGGUAAUUCCAGCUCCAAUAGCGUAUAUUAAAGUUGUUGCGGUUAAAAAGCUCGUAGUUGGAUCUCGGUUUCACUCAGGUGGUACACCUUGCGGUGUUCACUAUCUGGGUGGACGUUUCUGUUGGUUCGCUCUUGGUGCUCUUCAUCGGGUGCCAUUUGGUGGCCAGCACGUUUACUUUGAAAAAAUUGGAGUGCUCAAAGCAGGCGUUACAGCCUGAACAUUAGUGCAUGGAAUAAUGGAAUAGGAUCUCGAUUCUAUUUCGUUGGCUUUCGGAGUCGAGGUAAUGAUUAAUAGGGACAGACGGGGGCAUUCGUACUGCGGCGUUAGAGGUGAAAUUCUUGGAUCGUCGCAAGACGAACUACUGCGAAAGCAUUUGCCAAGGAUGUUUUCAUUAAUCAAAAACGAAAGUUAGAGGUUCGAAGGCGAUCAGAUACCGCCCUAGUUCUAACCAUAAACGAUGCCAACCGGCGAUCCGUCGUCGUUAAUUGAAUGACUCGACGGGCAGCCUCCGGGAAACCAGAGUGUUUGGGUUCCGGGGGAAGUAUGGUUGCAAAGCUGAAACUUAAAGGAAUUGACGGAAGGGCACCACCAGGAGUGGAGCCUGCGGCUUAAUUUGACCCAACACGGGAAAUCUCACCAGGCCCGGACACCGGAAGGAUUGACAGAUUGAGAGCUCUUUCUUGAUUCGGUGGGUGGUGGUGCAUGGCCGUUCUUAGUUGGUGGAGCGAUUUGUCUGGUUAAUUCCGAUAACGAACGAGACUCUGGCCUACUAACUAGAAGGUCUAUCCUUUAUGGGUAGGCCUCUGCUUCUUAGAGGGACGGGCGGCGUUUAGCCGCACGAGAAUGAGCAAUAACAGGUCUGUGAUGCCCUUAGAUGUUCUGGGCUGCACGCGCGCUACACUGAAGGAAUCAGCAUGUUCUCCCCUCCCUGAAAAGGGCGGGUAACCCGUUGAAACUCCUUCGUGAUGGGGAUUGGAGAUUGUAAUUAUUCUCCAUGAACGAGGAAUUCCCAGUAGGCGCGAGUCAUCAGCUUGCGUCGAUUACGUCCCUGCCCUUUGUACACACCGCCCGUCGCUACUACCGAUCGAGUGAUUUAGUGAGGACUUCGGACUGGUCUUCAAGUUGGCUUCGGUCGGCUCGAAGUUCCGGAAAGAUGCCCAAACUUGAUCACUUAGA